CAAUAGCGUAUAUUUAAGUUGCUGCAGUUAAAAAGCUCGUAGUUGGAUUUCGGGUGGGAAUGGCCGGUCCGCCGUUUCGGUGUGCACUUGCUACGCCCACCUUGCUGCCGGGGACGUGCUCUUGAGUUCACGCUCGGGACACGGAGUCGGCGAGGUUACUUUGAGUAAAUUAGAGUGUUCAAAGCAGGCCUACGCUCUGAAUACAUUAGCAUAGAAUAACACGAUAGGACUCUGGCCUAUCUUGUUGGUCUGUAGGACCGGAGUAAUGAUUAAGAGGGACAGUCGGGGGCAUUCGUAUUUCAUUGUCAGAGGUGAAAUUCUUGGAUUUAUGAAAGACGAACUACUGCGAAAGCAUUUGCCAAGGAUGUUUUCAUUAA
rnacentral:rRNA from 1 species